GGAUUUUAAUUUUAUUUUAAAUUUUAUUGAUGUUUUAUUUUUAUUAAAAUAAUUUUGUUUUUAGUAGUUUUUAUUGAAAUAUUUAUUUUAUAAUAAUAGUUUAUAGUACUGUGAAGGAUUAAUUAUAUUUUUUGGAAAGCAUAUUUUAUUUAUAGUACCUUUUGUAUCAGGGUUUAUUAAUUUAAUGCUAAUUAUUUUGUUUUCCCGAAGUUAAAAGAGAUAUAAUUUAAAUGUUAUUUUAUGUUUAAUAAUGAUUUAUAAUUUUAUUAUAGAGGUUAUAUGCUAUUCAAUUUUAAAUAUCUGGUUUUUUAAUAAAUGAAUUUAAUUCAGGCAAAUUUUUAUUAUUAUAUAAUUUUAUUUAUUUUAAUUUAUGUUUGCUAAUAUCAUUAGGGAUAAGCUUGGUGAUAUUUCUAUAAUUUUAUGUUUAUUAUAAUUUUUGUAGGCUUAAUAAUGGCCAUCAUUGAUUUUGUUAUAAUUCAUUUUAUAUUUUUAUUUAUUUAAUUUUUAUUUAGUUUAUUAUUAGGAUUUUUAAUUUAUUUUUAAAUUUUUAGUAAUAAUGAUAAAAUUAGUAGUUUGGUUUAUUUAAAUAUAAUAAUUCGGCAAUUUUGAUCUUCGCCUGUUUAACAAAAACAUGUCCUAUAGAAUUAAUUUUAGGUCUAACCUGCCCAAUGAAUUAACUUUUUAAUGGCCGCAGUAUAUUAACUGUGCAAAGGUAGCAUAAUCAUUUGUCUCUUAAUUGGAGGCUGGAAUGAAUGGUUGGACGAAGGAUCAGCUUUUUUUAUUUAAAUUUAAUGAAUUUGAUUUUUUAGUUAAAAAGCUUAAAUUUUUUUGUAAGACGAGAAGACCCUAUAGAAUUUUAAUUUUUUUGUUAUAUUAAUUUAUUUUGUUUUUAAUUUUAUUAUUGUAAUAGAAAAUUUUUGUUGGGGUGAUGGUGAAAAUAAUUUAACUUUCAUUUAUAUAUUUCAUUUAUUUAUGUAUAUUUUGAUCCUAUAUUAUUGAUUAUAAGAUUAAAUUACCUUAGGGAUAACAGCGUAAUUCUUUUGGAGAGUUCUUAUUGGUAAAUGGAGUUUGCGACCUCGAUGUUGGAUUAAAGUAAGUGUUAGGUGCAGUAGCUUAAUUACUAAGUCUGUUCGACUUUUGAAUCUUUACAUGAUCUGAGUUCAGACCGGCGUGAGCCAGGUUGGUUUCUAUCUGCAAUUUAAAAUUAAUAUUUUAGUACGAAAGGACCAGAUAUUAAUAAAAUUUAUUUGAUUUUGAUUAUAAUUA
rnacentral:rRNA from 1 species